ensembl:snoRNA
GCGCAGCCUCGAGCCGUCGCCGUGCCUGCACGUGGCACUUUGGAGUCAGGCUGCCGAGCCGGAGCCCACACUUGCGCAUAAAUGGGGCCACCUGGCCCCACGGCAUCGGUCCUUUUAACUAGGAGCCGGC